rnacentral:rRNA from 1 species
AACGAACGCUGGCGGCGCGCCUAACACAUGCAAGUCGAACGGAAUUUGAGAGCUUGCUCUUAAAUUUAGUGGCGCACGGGUGAGUAACGCGUAGAUAAUCUGCCUGACGAUCUGGGAUAACACUUCGAAAGAGGUGCUAAUACCGGAUAAGCCCACGGAGUCUUUGGAUUCUGCGGGAAAAGGGGGGGACCUUCGGGCCUUCUGUCGUCAGAUGAGUCUGCGUACCAUUAGCUAGUUGGUAGGGUAAUGGCCUACCAAGGCGACGAUGGUUAGCUGGUCUGGGAGGAUGAUCAGCCACACUGGAACUGGAACACGGUCCAGACUCCUACGGGAGGCAGCAGUGGGGAAUUUUGCGCAAUGGGCGAAAGCCUGACGCAGCAACGCCGCGUGAGUGAUGAAGGCUUUCGGGUCGUAAAGCUCUGUCGAGGGGAAAGAAGUGUACUUUGGCUAAUAUCCAUUGUACUUGACGGUACCCCUAAAGGAAGCACCGGCUAACUCCGUGCCAGCCGCCGCCGUAAAAC